rnacentral:rRNA from 1 species
UACAGAGGUCUCAAGCGUUGUUCGGAUUCAUUGGGCGUAAAGGGUGCGUAGGCGGCGCGGUAAGUCGGGGUGUGAAAUCUCGGAGCUUAACUUCGAAACUGCAUUCGAUACUGCCGUGCUUGAGGACUGGAGAGGAGACUGGAAUUUACGGUGUAGCGGUGAAAUGCGUAGAUAUCGUAAGGAAGACCAGUGGCGAAGGCGGGUCUCUGGACAGUUCCUGACGCUGAGGCACGAAGGCCAGGGGAGCAAACGGG